rnacentral:rRNA from 1 species
UAGUGGUUAGUAAAAAUAAGUAACGAAUGGAUAACUAGAAUAUUAUAAAUAAACGUAAAAAUAACGAAAAGGGUAUAAUAAAAUAAAUACCAAAGAGCGGAAACGGAUUUUUAAAAAACUUUAAGAAUUGAAACAUCUUAGUAUUAAAGGAAAAAAAAAUCAAACGAGAUUCUGCGAGUAGUGGCGAGCGAAAGUGGAGGAGAGGUUUAAUUUAUUAAUUGAAUCCAAAGAAGGUUAUAGUCCUUUAAAUUAAUAAAUUAAAUGGUGAAUUUGAGUAGAAUUAUUUGAAGAAAGGUGUACCAUACAUCUAAUUUUUAAUAUUAUAAUAUAUCGAUAGCGAAUAGUACUGUGAAGGAAUGUUGAAAGAGAUUAUAAUGAAAUAGAGCUUCAAAUUCGUUAUUUAUAAGCAAACGAUUGCGUNGUACCUUUUGUAUAAUGGGUUCAUUAGUUAAAUAUUUAGCAACUUUAAAUUUAUAAAUGAAGAGGUAGUGAAAACGAGUAAGAUUGAGCUUUAGUUAAAUAGAACCCGAAAUCAAGUGAUCUAAUCAUGGAUAGUUUGAAACUUUUUAAAAAAAGGUGGAGGAACGCACCGGUGAUUGUGGCAAAAAUCUCGGAAAAUCUGUGAUUAGGGGUGAAAUACUAAUCGAACUUGAAUUUAGCUGGUUUUCUGCGAAAAUUAUUUUAGUAAUGCGUCAUACAAUGAAUUUUUACAAAGUAAAGCACUGAAUAAACCCUAUUAAGGGAUUAAUUAAACUGUGAAAAUGUAAGAAUAAGUAUGAUAGACAGACAGUGGGCGAGAAGGUCUAUUGUCAAGAAGGAAACAACCUAGAUCAGAAGUUAAGGUCAUUAAUAAAAUUAUUUAAGUGUAAAAGGAAAUUUUAAUAUAAAAACAAUAAGAAAGUAAGCUUGGAGCCAGCUAUCUUUGAAAGAUUGCGUAAUAGUUCACUUAAUAAAACUCAAAAUUCUGAAAAUUAGGGUGGCUUAAAUAUCAAACCAAAACUCUGAACUUAUGUAGUGGUAGUAGAACGUUUUGUAAUAAUUUUAAAUUGUAAAAACAUAAUCAAAAGUGAUAAUGUGAACAUGAGUAAAAAACAAUGUGAAAAUCAUUGUUCAUGACCCAGGGUUUUCAAUUAUAGGAUGAUCUAAAUUGAAUUACACAGUUUCUAAGAAUAUAAUUAAAUUUAAUGGAAAUAAAUAAUAAAUAAAUAAAAUAUAGAAAAAAAUUAUUUAAUAUCGUUCUUAAAUAAAUAAACUGUACCAAACUAACUCGAGUGGGUAAUUAAGUGGUGGUAGAAUUUAUCUUAAGGAACUCGGCAAAAUAUUCCUGUAAGUUCGCGAGAAAGGAAGCUAAUUUCAAUAAAUUAAAUAAAUUAUUGAUUAAGCCUCAGAAAAAAGAGAGUGUCGACUGUUUACCAAAAACAUAGCUUUCAGCUAAGAAUCCUAGAUUUUAAGUAUUGAAGGUGAUGCCUGCCCAGUGAUUGUAUCUGAAUUUAAACAAUAAAUGUUGAUUAAGAAAGGACAAUUAAAUGGCCGCGGUAAAUCUGACCGUGAUAAUGUAGCGCAAUCAAUAGCCAAUUAAUUGUUGGCAAGUAUGAAUGGCUUAACGAAUACUCUACUGUCUCAAGAUAAAUACCAAUGAAAUUGAAUUUAUAGUGAAGAUGCUAUAUACAAAUUGUAAGACGAGAAGACCCCAUUGAGCUUUACUGGAAAUUUAUAUAGUUAUUUUUAAUUAAUUGUAUAGACUAUAUGGGUAAUAAUUUAAUGAAAAACCAUUCUUUAAUUAAAAAAUUACUAAAUUAAUCAUAAUAUAAGUUGGACAGUUUGGUUGGGGUGACAGCCUUCUAAAAAGUAACGAAGGUAUACAUAAGGUGAAUAAAUAAUAGUUUAUUAAGCCUGACAAUUAGGAUAACUUCUAAAUUGACACAUUUAUUGACUAUAGGUCUAAAUUGUGAGUUAUAAUGACCCGUUAAUUAUAAGUGGGUGUAUUAACGAGUAAUGGAUAAAAGUUACCAUGGGGAUAACAGCGUUAUAUCGUUUGAGAGUUCAUAUUGACGACGAUGUUUGCGACCUCGAUGUUGAAUUGUGGUAUCCUAGAGGUGCAGCAGCUUCUAAGGGUUGCACUGUUCGUGCAUUAAAACCGCACAUGAUUUGAGUUCAGACCGGCGUGAGCCAGGUCGGUUUCUAUCUACAAUUUGUAUAAGAGACAAAAUAUAUCUAUAUUCUAGUACGAAAGGAUCGAAUAUUUAGUUAUCCGCUGGUGUACCAAUUCUUUUUUAUUGUUGGGUAGCUAUGAUAAAAUCAAUAAUUACUGAAUGCAUCUGAAGUAAGAAAUGGUUUUUAUUUGUCUCUUAAUUUAUAUCGUUUUAGAUAAGAACGUUGAUAGGGUUUAAGUGUGUAGAUUAAUCUUAAAACUACUAAACAUAUAAAACACUAAUCAUUAUU